AGGUGGUCUGACCAGUCUCUCUGUCUCUCCUCAGCUUGGUCAGUCUAAAGAGUAGACUGUAGAGGUGGUCUGACCAGUCUCUCUGUCUCUCCUCAGCUUGGUCAGUCUAAAGAGUAGACUGUAGAGGUGGUCUGACCAGUGUCUCUGUCUCCUCAGCUUGGUCAGUCUAAAGAGUAGACUAUAGAGGUGGUCUGACAAGUCUCUCUGUCUCCCCUCAGCUUGGUCAGUCUAAAGAGUAGACUGAAGAGGUGGUCUGACCAGUCUCUCUGUCUCCCCUCAGCUUGGUCAGUCUAAAGAGUAGACUGUAGAGGUGGUCUGACCAGUCUCUCUGUCUCCUCAGCUUGGUCAGUCUAAAGAGUAGACUAUAGAGGUGGUCUGACCAGUGUCUCUGUCUCCUCAGCUUGGUCAGUCUAAAGAGUAGACUGUAGAGGUGGUCUGACCAGUCUCUCUGUCUCCCCUCAGCUUGGUCAGUCUAAAGAGUAGACUGUAGAGGUGGUCUGACCAGUCUCUCUGUCUCCCCUCAGCUUGGUCAGUCUAAAGAGUAGACUGUAGAGGUGGUCUGACCAGUCUCUCUGUCUCCCUCAGCUUGGUCAGUCUAAAGAGUAGACUGUAGAGGUGGUCUGACCAGUG